CGUGUAGGCGGUCGGUUAAGUCUGAUGUGAAAGCCCGGGGCUUAACCUCGGAAGGGCGUUGGAAACUGGCCGACUUGAGUUCGGGAGAGGGAAGCGGAAUUCCGGGUGUAGAGGUGAAAUUCGUAGAUAUCCGGAGGAACACCGGUGGCGAAGGCGGCUUCCUGGACCGAAACUGACGCUGAGACGCGAAAGCGUGGGGAGCAAACAGGAUUAGAUACCCUGGUAGUCCACGCCGUAAACGAUGGGCACUAGGUGUGGGGGUUUUUAAUCCCUCCGUGCCGCAGCUAACGCAUUAAGUGCCCCGCCUGGGGAGUACGGCCGCAAGGUUAAA
rnacentral:rRNA from 1 species